rfam:Stegodyphus mimosarum contig99565, whole genome shotgun sequence.
GCCUUCGUGGUGUAGUGGUGAGCACGCUCGGCUCGCAUUCGAGAGGUCUGUGGCUCGAUUCCCGGUGAGGCCA